UCAUGCCCUUGUCUUAAAGGUUAAGCCAUGCAUGUUUUAGUUUAAAUAUUUUACCUUGAAAAUGGGAAAGGCUCCUUAUAUAAGUUAUCGCUUAUUUGAUAGUCCCUUACUACUUGGAUAACCGUAGUAAUUUUAGAGCUAAUACCUGGGUCAAUACCCUUUUGGGGUAGUAUUUAUUUGAUAGAAACCAACCCCUUUGGGGUGAUGUGGUGAUUCACCAUUAGCUUGCGGAUUGCACGGUUUUGCCGGCAAUGGAUCAUUCAAGUUUUUUCCCUAUCAGCUUUGGGCGGUAAGGUAUUGGCUUUCCGUGGCUUUAACGGGUAACGGAAAAAUAGGGUUUGAUUUCGGAGAGGGAGCCUGAGAGGCGGGUACCUCAUCCAAGGAAGGCAGCAGGCGUGAAAAUUACCCCAUUUUCAAACUAGGAGGUUGUUACAAUAAAUCACAAUGCCGGGCCCUGAUAGGUUUGGCAAUUGGAAAAGGGACAAUUUAAAUCCCUUAUCGAGGAUCAAUUGGAGGCCAA
rnacentral:rRNA from 1 species